GAGGCAAAGCUGGUCCUGUGCCUGCUGUCCAUUGCCGCUAAGGCCUGCUGCUGCCAUUCAGGCGUGUCUCUCUCUCUCUCUCUCUUUCAUGCCGCUCUCUCCACCCCAUCUUGGGACGGCCAGCUCUAAGAAUUCCUGCUACGACACUGAAUUCAACCAGGAGGUGAUGCCACACUCAAUCAGAAACUAUGCUACUGCUGAAGAGGUAUAUUGAGCCCUGCCUGGUUAACCUCCAGUGAGGUUAUUAGAGAAUUGGGAGAGGCUCAAAUCAGCAUCCUGCACCUAGUUAUCAAACCAUUGUGAAGUCUUGAUUCCUGGAUGGCCAGAAAACUUGUCAUUGGUCAAGAGCAACAUUAAGAUCUGCCUGUUACUCAUACUGAUGCUUCCUGCCCAGCAAGUUCAUCAGAGGGCGAGGAUGAAUUACGGUUGCCAUGAAUGUCCUUGUGAGGCAGUUGGGAAGCCUUGGCUGGAUUGUGAAGGAUAUUUGAAAAGUAUUUUAGAGUCCACCAGAUCAUCCAUGUGAGUGACCAUGCAGCAAAAGAAGGAGGGUCCUCUCAGUGAUUAAGGAUUAUGAAGUAUUAAUUCUUCCACUGAUAUCUCAAAAGGUGAUCUGGACAAAGGAACAGGUAUCUCAGAUAAUCAGCAACUGCUGUGAUGAGAUGCUGCCUUUAAUGCUGCUGCAUGUGGUCAAACCUCCACUCCCAGUCUACCCAGACCAGGACUUGGCUUCCAGGAUCCAGGGGUGUCUGUGUGAAAUGAUCAGCCUGGGCCCCCAAGCAGGUCACUCCCAGCACAGAGAUGUCAUUGAUUGUACCACCGUCAUCAGGCUGUCUUCCGCCCUCAGGGAAAAGUAGCAUGUCUUCCAGCACCAUAUGACAACUGCUCAGCACUUAUUUCUUGUCAUUGCUCCCUUCUGACUGCAGCUCCGUGGGAUCACAGGAGAUUAUGGUGGUGGUGGACUCCCAGGCAUUGCUAUUCUCCUGACACCAGAACACCAUCAUGGUCAUCUCUGAGGCAUCAGUAGUGUUUCUAUAUGCCAACAGUGAACAAUCUGAAAAAGAUAUUAAAAAGUAAUCUCAUUUACAAUAGCCACACAUAAAAUUAAAUACCUAGGAAUUAACCAAAGAAGUUAAAUAUCUCUAUAAUGAAAACUAUAAAACACUGAUGAAUGAAAUUGAUGAGAUCACCAAAAAUGAAAAAAUAUUCCAUGUUCAUGGAUUGGAAGAAUCAAUAUUGUUAAAAUGUCCAUACUACCCAAAGCAAUCUACAGAUUCAGUGCAAUCCCUAUAAAAAUACCAAUGACAUUCUUCACAGAAAUAUGAUCCUAAAAUGUAUACAGAACCACAAAGACCCAGAAUAGCCAAAGCUAUCCUAAGCAAAAAGAACAAAACUGGAGGAAUCACAUUACCUGACUUUAAAUAAUACUACAGAGCUGUUGUAACCAAAACAGCAUGGUACUGGCAUAAAAGCAGACACACAGACCAAUGGAACAGUACAGACAACCCAGAAACAAAUCCACACACAAACAGUGAACCCAUUUGUGACAAAGGUGCCAAGAAUAUGCACUCGGGAAAACACAGUCUUUACUCCACAAGCACAAGCAACCAAAGCAAAAAUGGACAAAUGGGAUUACGUCAAGUUUAAAAGCUUCUACACAGCAAAA
ensembl:lncRNA FTX FTX transcript, XIST regulator